UACGUAGGGGGCAAGCGUUGUCCGGAUUUAUUGGGCGUAAAGGGCGCGUAGGCGGCUCAUACAGUCAGAUGUGAAAUUCCUGGGCUUAACCUGGGGGCUGCAUUUGAUACGUGUGGGCUUGAGUGGGGAAGAGGGUCGUGGAAUUCCCAGUGUAGAGGUGAAAUUCGUAGAUAUUCGCAAGAACACCAGUGGCGAAGGCGGCUCACUGGCCCGAUACUGACGCUGAGGCACGAAAGCGUGGGGAGCAAACAGGG
rnacentral:rRNA from 1 species